AUUGUACGCUGGCGGCAUGCCUUACACAUGCAAGUCGAACGGCAGCACGGGAGCAAUCCUGGUGGCGAGUGGCGAACGGGUGAGUAAUAUAUCGGAACGUGCCCAGUCGUGGGGGAUAACGUAGCGAAAGCUACGCUAAUACCGCAUACGAUCCAUGGAUGAAAGCGGGGGAUCGCAAGACCUCGCGCGAUUGGAGCGGCCGAAAUCAGAUUAGGUAGUUGGUGGGGUAAAGGCCCACCAAGCCGACGAUCUGUAGCUGGUCUGAGAGGACGACCAGCCACACUGGAACUGGGACACGGUCCAGACUCCUACGGGAGGCAGCAGUGGGGAAUUUUGGACAAUGGGCGCAAGCCUGGUUCAGCAAUGCCGCGUGCAGGAUGAAGGCCUUCGGGUUGUAAACUGCUUUUGUACGGAGCGAAACGGUCUCUUCUAAUACAGGGGGCUAAUGACGGUACCGUAAGAAUAAGCACCGGCUAACUACGUGCCAGCCGCCGCCGUAA
rnacentral:rRNA from 1 species